rnacentral:rRNA from 1 species
CGCCACGCUUUAGAACGGGCGAAACCGCGAAUGGCUCAGGAACCGGACCUAAUCCUCGGGACCGUAAUCCUCCUCGGAGGCGAUGGAUAACUGUGGCAAUUCUAGAGCUAAUACAUGUGACACAAGCCGCGAUCGGUCGUCGCGUCGUGGUCGCCUCGCCUCGCGCGCUGGCACCCGCGGCGGCCGUCUUGGGUCGCGGCGCUACAUAUUAGACUGAGACCGAUGCGCGAUUCCCGUCCUCCCUUCGCGGGGUUGGUGUUUGUCUCCAUCGGUUUCGGCCGGUGGUCUCUUCUCCUCCUCNUUGCGUCNGGACCAAANGGCGGCGCGCUCCGCUUUGNUGACUCUGGAUAACUCACUGGNCGAUCGCACGGGCUUCCACGCCCGGCGACGGGUCCCCCGAGGGUCCGCCCUAUCAACUGUCGACGGUCGGUUAAGUGCCUACCGUGGUUACUACGGGUAACGGGGAAUCGGGGUUCGAUUCNGGAGAGGGAGCAUGCGAAACGGCUACCACAUCCNAGGAAGGCAGCAGGCGCGCAAAUUACCCACUCCCGGCACGGGGAGGUAGUGACGAAAAAUAACGACGCGGGACUCUGUCGAGGCCCCGCGAUCGGAAUGAGUACACUUCAAAUCCGUUAACGAGGACCAACCGGAGGGCAAGUCUGGUGCCAGCAGCCGCGGUAAUUCCAGCUCCGGUAGCGUAUAUUAAAGUUGUUGCGGUUAAAAAGCUCGUAGUCCGAACUCGGGUUCGUGGUCGCUCGCGCGGCCCCGGGGCGGCGGCGCCAUCGUCCAUCGUUGACUUUGGUCGUCCGUUCGCAUUCCCGGCCCUUUCCGCCGGUGUCGAUCGCUGCAUGACGGCCUCGGGUGGCAGCUUGGCUACGGGGAGCGUGGCGUCCGCGCGUCGUUUCGGCGGCGCGUGUCUCGUCCGGGCGGCGGGGGAGCGGACCGACUCUCGCGGGUCUUCUCUUCGUCUCUCUCUCUACCCCUCCUCCGCCUCGCCACGCGCCCGUGCUUGCCGUCGGCGAUCUCUCCUCCAAGGGUGCUCUUAACCGAGUGUCCGCGGCGGCCGGUACGUUCACUUUGAAAAAAUUAGAGUGCUCAGAGCGGGCUGUUCAAGCUUGCAUACGAUAAGCAUGGAAUGAUGGAAGAGGGCCUCGUCUACGUCUGUCGGUCUCCGUCUACGGCGAGGCAAUGAUCGAAGGGAGCGGUCGGGGCCACUCGUAUUGCGACGUUAGAGGUGAAAUUCUUGGAUCGUCGCAAGACGAACUGCAGCGAUGGCGUGUGGCAAGCACGUUUUCCUCGAUCAAGAGCGAAAGUCGGAGGUUCGAAGACGAUCAGAUACCGUCGUAGUUCCGACCGUAAACGAUGCCGACCGGCGAUCCGCCGGCGUUCGCUUCCAUGACCCGGCGGGUAGCCUGCGGGAAACCAGAGUUCGGUUCCGGGGGGAGUAUGGUUGCAAAGCUGAAACUUAAAGGAAUUGACGGAAGGGCACCACCAGGAGUGGAGCCUGCGGCUUAAUUUGACUCAACACGGGAAAACUCACCCGGUCCGGACACCGGUAGGAUUGACAGAUCGAUAGCUCUUUCUCGAUUCGGUGGGUGGUGGUGCAUGGCCGUUCUUAGUUGGUGGAGCGAUCCGUCUGGUUGAUUCCGAUAACGAACGAGACUCCGGCCUGCUAACUAGUGCGCCGAUGUGAGUGCGGCGUCCUCCGCGGCGUCGCGUGCGGGCUCUCCGCGGGUGUGUCGCGUCGUGGUCUCUCGCGGGUCGUUGCGGUCGUCCUCCCACCCUUUAACCGGGGUGGUGGCGUUCGUGCGCUCGCGGCGGGGUCUCGCGCGUGGUGCGCUCUCGGGUCCGGGUCGGUUUCUCACGCACUUCUUAGAGGGACGGGUGGCAGAAAGCCACACGAGGCGGAGCGAUAACAGGUCUGUGAUGCCCUUAGAUGUCCGGGGCCGCACGCGCGCUACACUGGAGGUAUCAGCGGGGACUUCGCCCCGGCCCGAGAGGGUCGGGAAACCUCUCAACCACCUCCCGUGAUAGGGAUCGGGGCCUGUAACUAACCCCGUGAACGAGGAAUUCCCGGUAGGCGCGGGUCAACAGCCCGCGUCGAUCACGUCCCUGCCCUUUGUACACACCGCCCGUCGCUACUACCGAUCGAACGGUCCGGUGAGGUCCUCGGAUCUGGCCGACGACGCCGCCGGGUGUCGGCUGUGCUCUCCUUCGCGGGGGUGCCUGUCGUUUGCCUCGGCGUUCGAUGCCUGGAGAAGACGACCGAACCCGAUCGUUUAGAGGAAGUAAAAGUCGUAACAAGGUUUC